CCUACGGGUGGCAGCAGUGAGGAAUAUUGGUCAAUGGUCGGGAGACUGAACCAGCCAAGCCGCGUGAGGGAUGAAGGUCCAGAGUAUCGUAAACCUCUUUUGUCAGGGAACAAAGGCGGGGACGUGUCCCCGGAUGAGUGUACCUGAAGAAAAAGCAUCGGCUAACUCCGUGCCAGCAGCCGCGGUAAUACGGAGGAUGCGAGCGUUAUCCGGAUUUAUUGGGUUAAAGGGGUGCGUAGGGGGUCUGUUAAGUCAGCGGUCAAAGCCGGGGGCUCAACCCCGAACCGCCGUUGAAACUGGCAGUCUUGAGUAGGAGAGAGGUAUGCGGAAUGCGCGGUGUAGCGGUGAAAUGCAUAGAUAUCGCGCAGAACUCCGAUUGCGAAGGCAGCAUGC
rnacentral:rRNA from 1 species